rnacentral:rRNA from 1 species
UAGAGUUUGAUCCUGGCUCAGAUUGAACGCUGGCGGCAUGCUUUACACAUGCAAGUCGAACGGCAGCACGAGAGAAGCUUGCUUCUUUUGGUGGCGAGUGGCGAACGGGUGAGUAAUACAUCGGAACGUGCCCUGGUGUGGGGGAUAGCUUGGCGAAAGCCAAAUUAAUACCGCAUACGCUCUAAGGGGGAAAGCAGGGGAUCUUUUAGACCUUGCGCACAAGGAUCGGCCGAUGUCAGAUUAGGUAGUUGGUGGGGUAAGGGCCUACCAAGCCUGCGAUCUGUAGCUGGUUUGAGAGGAUGAUCAGCCACACUGGGACUGAGACACGGCCCAGACUCCUACGGGAGGCAGCAGUGGGGAAUUUUGGACAAUGGGGGCAACCCUGAUCCAGCGAUGCCGCGUGCAGGAAGAAGGCCUUCGGGUUGUAAACUGCUUUUGUCAGGGAAGAAAAGCGAAGUGCUAAUAUCAUUUUGCGCUGACGGUACCUGAAGAAUAAGCACCGGCUAACUACGUGCCAGCAGCCGCGGUAAUACGUAGGGUGCAAGCGUUAAUCGGAAUUACUGGGCGUAAAGGGUGCGCAGGCGGUUUAGCAAGACUGAUGUGAAAUCCCCGGGCUUAACCUGGGAACUGCAUUGGUAACUGCCAGACUAGAGUGCGGUAGAGGGGGGUAGAAUUUUGCGUGUAGCAGUGAAAUGCGUAGAUAUGCAAAGGAAUACCGAUGGCGAAGGCAGCCCCCUGGACCUGCACUGACGCUCAUGCACGAAAGCGUGGGGAGCAAACAGGAUUAGAUACCCUGGUAGUCCACGCCCUAAACGAUGUCAACUAGUUGUUGGGAAUAUCUAUUCUCAGUAACGAAGCCAACGCGUGAAGUUGACCGCCUGGGGAGUACGGCCGCAAGGUUGAAACUCAAAGGAAUUGACGGGGGCCCGCACAAGCGGAGGAACAUGUGGUUUAAUUCGAUGAUACGCGAGGAACCUUACCCGGGCUUGAAUUGCUGAUAACGGCAUUUGGAGACAGAUGCUUCCCCUCGGGGUAUCAGUGAAGGUGCUGCAUGGUUGUCGUCAGCUCGUGCCGUAAGGUGUCGGCUUAAGUGCCAUAACGAGCGCAACCCUUGCCGUUAGUUGCCAUCAGGUUAAGCUGGGCACUCUAGUGGGACUGCCAUCGUAAGAUGUGAGGAAGGUGGGGAUGACGUCAAAUCAGCACGGCCCUUAUGUCCGGGGCGACACACGUGUUACAAUGGUAGGUACAGCGGGAAGCUACCUGGCGACAGGAUGCAGAUCCCGAAAUCCUAUCUCAGUUCGGAUUGGAGUCUGGAACUCGACUCCAUGAAGCUGGAUUCGCUAGUAAUCGCGCAUCAGCCAUGGCGCG